GGGGGGUGCAAGCGUUGUUCGGAUUUAUUGGGCGUAAAGCGCGUGUAGGCGGUCUUAUAAGUCUGAUGUGAAAGCCCUGGGCUCAACCCAGGAAGUGCAUUGGAUACUGUAAGACUUGAAUACGGGAGAGGGCAGUGGAAUUCCUAGUGUAGGAGUGAAAUCCGUAGAUAUUAGGAGGAACACCGGUGGCGAAGGCGGCUGCCUGGAGCGAUAUUGACGCUGAGACGCGAAAGCGUGGGUAGCAAACAGGAUUAGAUACCCUGGUAGUCCACGCCGUAAACGAUGAGAACUAGGUGUUGCGGGUAUUGACCCCUGCAGUGCCGUAGCUAACGCAUUAAGUUCUCCGCCUGGGAAGUACGGUCGCAAGACUA
rnacentral:rRNA from 1 species